rnacentral:tRNA from 1 species
GCGGCUGUGGCGGAAUUGGUAGACGCGCAUGCUUCAGGUGCAUGUGGGCGUAAGCCCGUGGGAGUUCGAGUCUCCCCAGCCGCA